AUAUUAUAUUAUUAUAUUAUAUUAUAUUUAAACUAUAAUAUAAUGUAAUGUAAUUAUAUUAUAUAUAAACUAUAUAUCUCCCUGCCAAGAAGGAAAGUGAGGCCAUUGCAGAGCUGCAGCCAUCAGCACAUCAAGCCCAGCGCCAAGCUUAAAAGCUAAAUAGGCUUAGUCAUAGAAUCUAAUGAGCUAAUCAGAGGUGCCCAAACCUAUUACCAGCAGGAAAACACAGCUGCACUGCCUGCCGUGCCCUGCUUCUCCUCGGGCUCUUUAAACAAAGCACAGAGCACUUUCUUCAGGAAAAAAACCUUGGAGAAAACCUUGCCUGAUGCCAGGGUCAUGCAGACUCACAUCACUGCCACAUCCCGUGGUGAAUUUACCCCUGUGGAGGGCUCAGGGCUGCCCAGGUGUCCCAGGCACGUCACACUGCCCCUCUCCAGCAGCAGCUCUGCUCUGUGCCCCCUGCCAGCCCCACUCUCCUCCCUCCUCUCCUCCUGGGCUGCUCUCAGCAGCAGCCCCAAGCUGAAAUACAUUUCCUGGGCCUGUUUGUCCUUUCACAGACAGAAAACCACUUGGGUGUCCUUGCUUUUUACCCUGUUGACACAACACUGGGUUCGUUCUGCUCUGGGCAGGCCAGCACAGCCGAACAUUUCCUUGCUAGCACUCCCUAAAAAACUUUCCCUCCCUGCUCUGAAGGGCUCAUUUGGUCCUUUCAAUACAUUCUGGGCAGAGCUUUGUCUGCACUCAGUUUUCCUUCCCCCUCUGCCUCUCGGAUCUGUUUCAGGGAGAUAAAGAAUUCCAUUGCAUCCAGAGGCCACGCUCUUCCCCUAACAAUCCUCGUGGUUUCUUUUUGCACAGCUCACCUGGGCUAUUCAGUUGCUAGAAGGCAGACAGAGCAUAUUUUAGCUGGUAACUGGCACCACAGUUUGAUUGGAAACACAUUUCAGGGGCUGCUUUCUAUAAUUACAGAUGGGCUGGAUAGAGCAGAUGUCUGCGUUAACCUCCGCUGGGGAGCAGUUUGAAUUCAGCCCAAGCUAACCCAGAUCCUGAGUGCUGAUCACGCUGCCAUCUCAUUGUUCAGGUUUUGUGGGUCUCCAUCUCCUCCUCCCUGGCACACAGGUAUCCUCUUGCCCAAGCUUUUACCAGCCCUGGCCCCUCCCUGGCAGGCUCCCCUCUUUCCCACAGCUGCUUCCUCGGGGUUAAACAGGCCAUGGGAACUGGGAGAACUGGGAUCAGCUCAUCCUUCCUCCUGCCUGGCUGUGCAGGGGAUACCAGCAGCGAUGCCUCACACCCACACUCACCCCACUGACACGUGUGAGGUGACAGGGCCACCAAAUCCCAGUGAUUUUCAUAUUUUUAGAGCUGGACCUGAUUAAACUCAGCAAGCAAAACAUGCUCAAUAUCUGAAAAUAAUCCCAUCCCAUGGCUUCCCUCUAAUGCACCACAAAUUAAUGUCACCACAAAUGUCACUGGGGCACUUACCAGGGUCUGAGUUGCACAAACAAAGGCCAGAAGGGAAUCACAUCCAGAAUAAAAGCCACAAACUCCCCUAAUUUCACUGCCAUUUGGUCUGAAGGGCAAAAAAAACCUCUCUCAUGUAUUCCUGAAAAAUUACCUGAGAUGAGGAAUCAAACCCAGUCUGUGAAAAAUCAAAGAGUUAAUUACACACUGUGCUAAUGAAAAAAAAAAAAAAAGGAAAAAAGCAGGCUUUAUUCCAGUUAGAGCAGGGCAUCUAAACCCAAUUAAUUCCCAGCUCACACUAAUAAUGUUCUAAAGGUCUCGCUGCACACAGAGCAGGAGUGUCACUGUCACACUCAGGGGCACGGGGACACCGAGGUCACAGAGUUUCCCUGGGUCACACACAGAGAUAAUGGCAGCAGCAGAGCAAGGAGCAUCUUUUAGACUGUGCUGCUUAUCAGAAUACUUCUCCCUAUAUUAAAAACAGCAGAGGUUUUAGGGGAGGGCGGGGGAGAGGAUUUAAACCAUGCAAUUUUCUAUUUCUUUUCUGUAGCUUUUUGAUCCUUUCACUUUCGGGUCUAGCAAAUGCAACUUUCUUCAUCCUUGGAGAUUAUUCUUCAAUUCCUCAAAGAGGCUUCAAUUUUCUCACAAAUCUCUCUUCCUUUCACUUAAUUUAAACAUUUAUGGCCAAUUCCAUGAUUUAAUAAUGAGAAAUAAAAUUGGAGAUUUACUAA